UUUUUUUUUAAAGCAAAGACAGAGAGCAAGUAGGAAGGGAGCGACGAAGACUGAGCCUAGGAGAGGGAGAGGGAAGGAAGAGGAGUUCCAGAUGUACCAGAAAGGUACUUCCUUAUGUGACACUAUAGAAAUACUGGAUCAAAGCAGACAAAUUCCGAGGAUAGAAACCCUACAGAGCAACCACUCAUGAAGUAUCCCUGGUCUGGUCACCGAGAAACUGACAUUAAGAAAAUAGCUGGAGGGCUUCCCUGGUGGCGCAGUGGUUGAGAAUCCUCCUGCCAAUGCAGGGGACACGGGUUCGAGCCCUGGUCUGGGAAGAUCCCACGUGCCACGGAGCAACUGGGCCCGUGAGCCACAACUACUGAGCCUGCGCAUCUGGAGCCUGCGCUCCGCAACAGGAGAGGCCACAAUAGUGAGAGGCCCGCGCACCGCGAUGAAGAGUGGCCCCCACUUGCCACAACUAGAGGAAGCCCUUGCGCAGAAACAAAGACCCAACACAGCCAAAAAUUAAUAAUAAUAAUAAUAAAUAAAUAAAUAAAAUUAAAAAAAAAAAAGAAAAUAGCUGGAGACAAUUCAUUGCCAUCUCAAGAUGACCCGAAGCCCACAAUGCUCAGCAAUGCUGGAGUGAAGGAACAUCUUACUUUUGCUUGCCGCGUAGCUGCAUGUGGCUACAGUGUCCAUUUUGUCCCAG